AUGGCCAAGGCUCGCGUACUCCGCUGUGCGGUGCUGAUGGUGUGCGCGCUCCUAGUUCUCUCGUCCGAGGCGGCUGGCCGGCAAAGGGGUCAUGGGAGAGAGGCCACGGCGGCGCCGGCAGCGAUGGCAAUGGCGAGAGGGCGUUUUGUCACGAAGGUGCUGCGGGAGGAGAUGGUUCAGGCGAAUGGCCAGGGUGGCAUUGGCGAGUCUAAGAGGACCAGUCCGGGCGGCCCAGACCCGCAGCAUCAUUAG
rnacentral:rRNA from 1 species